UUAUUUAUUUUAUUAUAUUUAUUUUUUGUUUAUUUAAUUAUUUAAUAAAAAUAAUUUUAUUGAAUUUUGUCUUAGUAUAUUUUGUAGAAUUGAUUUUUUAAAUUAUAGUUUAUUGGUAAUGUAAUUGUUUUAUGAAAUAUUAUUNNNNNNUCAAAAACANGUCCUCNUGAAAAUACUUUGAGGUCUGGCCGGCUCNCUGAGCGGAUUUUUAAAGAGCCGCGGUAUUUUGNCCGNGCAAAGGNAGCAUAAUCAUUAGUCUNUUAAUUAGUGGCUGGAANGAAUGGCUUGACGAGAAAUCAACUGUCUCUUAAUAAAUUUUUGAAUUUAAC
rnacentral:rRNA from 1 species